rnacentral:rRNA from 1 species
UACGUAGGGGGCAAGCGUUGUCCGGAAUCAUUGGGCGUAAAGCGCGUGUAGGCGGUUCGGUAAGUCCGCUGUGAAAGUCGGGGGCUCAACCCUCGGAAGCCGGUGGAUACUGUCGAGCUAGAGUACGGAAGAGGCGAGUGGAAUUCCUGGUGUAGCGGUGAAAUGCGCAGAUAUCAGGAGGAACACCAAUUGCGAAGGCAGCUCGCUGGGACGUUACUGACGCUGAGACGCGAAAGCGUGGGGAGCAAACAGG